ACAGCUUCCUUAUUCAACAGGAUGGUGUGUCGUAUGGUUACAUUACAUCUGGUCAAAAGCCUAAAGAUGAUUUAGCUUUUAACUAACUUUUUUUACUUUUAAUUGAGUUUGUUAGGCGUAAAUAGCUGAAUGAUACAGCAUUUGUUUAACUCAGUAUAUUCACAGCUUAAUUAAAUAAUUCACAUGCCAGUCUCUAAUCGUGGCGUGAAAAGACCAAAAACCAAAUUAAAUAAUCAUAGCUCCCUGAGCCAAUUGCUUGGAAAAGAGAAGCAGGGUCUGUUGAGACAUAUGGCAAACAAUCUUUGCUGCAAACCAGCAAGCUAAAACACACCACUACUACCAUGUGGUAAGAGUAUAUAUCCUUUUGCACAAUAUAUUUUCCAAACACACUCUCGCCAGGAGCAACAGGUGUGUAACUGAACUUAGGUUUGAACAGAUAAUUUGAGUACUAUGAAUUGGAAGGAAAGGGAGGGAGCUGGAAAAGGGGAUGAAAUAUUGUGAAUUAAAAUUGCAAUUUCCCUUACAGCUUUUUUAAUUGUUAACUUAUAAGUUGGGAAUUUGUGAAAUGUGACAAAUAAGGAAGUAAUUGAGAAUGCCUGCUGCACUGAGAUCUGUCUCUGCCAACAUAUGCGUUCUCUGCUGUGGUGCUGUGGUAAUCCUGGUGUGGCACAGGCAGGACGAAGGAGGUGUGCAGGGGAAUAUCCACUGGAGCCAGGACGGCAGGGCCUUGAAAAUUCCAUAUGAGGAUCUCAGAGUAGAGUAA
rnacentral:lncRNA from 1 species